rnacentral:rRNA from 2 species
CUUAGCAUAUCAAUAAGCGGAGGAAAAGAAACCAACAGGGAUUCCCCUAGUAACGGCGAGUGAAGCGGGAACAGCUCAAAUUUGAAAUCUGGCCCUUGGGUCCGAGUUGUAAUUUGCAGAGGAUGCUUUUGGUGCGGUGCCUUCCGAGUUCCCUGGAACGGGACGCCUUAGAGGGUGAGAGCCCCGUACGGUUGGCCACCAAGCCUGUGUAAAGCUCCUUCGACGAGUCGAGUAGUUUGGGAAUGCUGCUCAAAAUGGGAGGUAUAUUUCUUCUAAAGCUAAAUACUGGCCAGAGACCGAUAGCGCACAAGUAGAGUGAUCGAAAGAUGAAAAGCACUUUGAAAAGAGGGUUAAAUAGCACGUGAAAUUGUUGAAAGGGAAGGAUUUAUGACCAGACUUUUUCUGGGGGGAUCAUCCGGUGUUCUCACCGGUGCACUUCCCCCAGUGAAGGCCAGCAUCGGUUUCUGCCGGGGGAUAAAAGCUUCGGGAAUGUGGCUCCUUCGGGAGUGUUAUAGCCCGUUGCAUAAUACCCUGGCGGGGACCGAGGUUCGCGCAUUGCAAGGAUGCUGGCGUAAUGGUUAUUAAUCACCCGUCUUGAAACACGGACCAAGGAGUCGAACAUUUGUGCGAGUGUUUGGGUGUUAAACCCUCACGCGUAAUGAAAGUGAACGGAGGUGAGAGCCCCUCGGGGUGCAUCAUCGACCGAUCCUGAUGUCUUCGGAUGGAUUUGAGUAAGAGCAUAACUGUUCGGACCCGAAAGAUGGUGAACUAUGCGUGGAUAGGGUGAAGCCAGAGGAAACUCUGGUGGAGGCUCGCAGCGGUUCUGACGUGCAAAUCGAUCGUCAAAUCUGCGCAUGGGGGCGAAAGACUAAUCGAUCCAU